UACGGGGGGGGCAAGCGUUGUUCGGAAUUACUGGGCGUAAAGGGUUCGUAGGUGGCCAACUAAGUCAGACGUGAAAUCCCUCAGCUUAACUGGGGAACUGCGUCUGAUACUGGUUGGCUUGAGUGCAGGAGAGGAACGCGGAAUUCCAGGUGUAGCGGUGAAAUGCGUAGAUAUCUGGAGGAACACCUGUGGCGAAGGCGGCGUUCUGGACUGCAACUGACACUGAGGAACGAAAGCCAGGGUAGCAAACGGG
rnacentral:rRNA from 1 species